CUAGUGAUUGCUCCGGCUAACUCCGUGCCAGCAGCCGCGGUAAUACGGGGGGAGCAAGCGUUGUUCGGAUUCACUGGGCGUAAAGGGCGUGUAGGCGGAUAUGUAAGUCAAAUGUGAAAACCAGCGGCUUAACCACUGGCCUGCAUUUGAAACUAUGUAUCUUGAGUAUGAGAGGGGAGAGCGGAAUUCCUGGUGUAGCGGUGAAAUGCGUAGAUAUCAGGAGGAACACCUGUGGCGAAGGCGGCUCUCUGGCUCAAUACUGACGCUAAGGCGCGAAGGCCGGGGGAGCAAACAGGAUUAGAUACCCUGGUAGUCCCGGCGGUAAACGAUGGGUACUAGGUGUUGGAGGUAUCGACCCCUUCAGUGCCGCAGCUAACGCAUUAAGUACCCCGCCUGGGGAGUACGGUCGCAAGAUUGAAACUCAAAGGAAUUGACGGGAGCCCGCACAAGCGGUGGAGUAUGUGGUUUAAUUCGAAGCAACGCGCAGAACCUUACCUGGACUUGACAUCCCGGAAAUCCUUCUGAAAGGAGGGAGUGCUCUUCGGAGAAUCCGGUGACAGGUGCUGCAUGGCUGUCGUCAGCUCGUGUCGUGAGAUGUUGGGUUAAGUCCCGCAACGAGCGCAACCCUUGUCUUUAGUUGCCAGCAUUAAGUUGGGCACUCUAAAGAGACUGCCGGUGUCAAACCGGAGGAAGGUGGGGAUGACGUCAAGUCCUCAUGGCCUUUAUGAUCAGGGCUACACACGUACUACAAUGGCCGGUACAAAGGGCAGCCACAGGGCAACCUGGAGCGAAUCCCGUAAAGCCGGUCUCAGUCCGGAUUGGAGUCUGCAACUCGACUCCAUGAAGUUGGAAUCGCUAGUAAUCGUGGAUCAGCAUGCCACGGUGAAUACGUUCCCGGGCCUUGUACACACCGCCCGUCACACCACGGGAGUUGGUUGUACCAGAAGUAGUUGAGCGAACUAUUCGUAGACGCAGGCUACCAAGGUAUGAUUGGUAACUGGGGUGAAGUCGUAACAAGGUAACC
rnacentral:rRNA from 1 species